rnacentral:rRNA from 1 species
UAGUUACAUUAAAAAUAACUAACUUAUAAUAUUAUUUUUUAAGAUAAAAAAAAUUAUUUAAAAUAACUUAGUUUAAAAAAUUAUAUAAAAUUAUAAUUAUUUAAAAAAUUUAAAUUAAUUAUUGUUAAUUAAUUAAAAAUUAAAUUUAUUAUUUUUACCUUUUGUAUCAGGGAUAAUUUAAAAUUUAAAUUUAAAUUUAAUUCUCGGAAUAAAAAAAUUUAUAUAAUUAAAAUUUAUUUAUAUAACAAUAUAAAAUAAAAUAUUUAUAUAGAAAUAAAAUAUUAAUCAUUUUUUAUAAUAUCUAGUUUUUAAAUAAAUGAAUUUAAUUCAUAUAUAACUUAUUAAUUUAUUAAUAUAAUUAUAAUAAAUUUUAACUUAUAUAAAUAAUUUAAGGGAUAAACUUUAAAUUAAAUUUAUAAUAUAUAAAUUUUAUACAAUUAUAUAAAAAUAAAAUUAAUUUAUAUUAAAAAGUAUUUAAUAAUUUAAUUUAAUAAAAAAAAAUUUAAUUUAAUUUAAAUAAUUAUUUAAAUAUUAUUAUAAACAAAAAAUAAUAAAUAAUAAUGAUUAUAUUAGUAAAUUAAAAUUUUAUAAAUAAAUAAUUAAAUUAUAAAUUUAUAUAAAAUAACUCGGCAAAUAAAAUUUUCACCUGUUUAACAAAAACAUGGCUUAUAGAAUAUAAUUUUAAGUCCAAUCUGCUCAAUGAUUAAUUAAAUAGCUGCAGUAUAAAUAACUGUACAAAGGUAGCAUAAUAAUUAGAUUUCUAAUUAAAAUCUAGAAUGAAAGAUUAAAUGAAAAAUAAACUAUCUAAAAAAAUUAAUAUUAAAUUUAAAUUUUAAUUAAAAAAAAUUAAUUAAAUUUAAAAGACAAGAAGACCCUAUAGAAUUUUAUAAAUUUAAUAAAAUAUAUAUUAAAUUUAUUUAAUUGGGAUAAUUUUAAAAUAAAAAUAAUUUUUUUUUAUUCUACAUAUUAAAAUGAAUUAAUUAAUCUUAAAUUUAAAAUUUAAAUAAAUUACCUUAGGGAUAACAGAAUAAUUUUUUUUAAAAGAACAUAUUAAAAAAAAAGAUUAUUACCUCGAUGUUGAAUUAAGAUAAAAAAUAAAUGAAAAAAUUUAUAAAUUUAAGUCUGUUCGACUUUUAAAAUCUUACAUGAUUUGAGUUAAGAUCGGUGUAAACCAGAUCGGAUUCUAUCUUUAAAUAAAAUUUAUAUUUUUGUACGAAAGGAAUAAAUAUAAUAAAUAAUUUAUAAUCACUAAUAAAAUAAAUAUAA